rfam:Pongo abelii chromosome 5.
GGAUGGGAGGGCGAUCUGGCUGCGAAAUCUGUCACCCCAUUGAUCGCCAGGGUUGAUUCGGCUGAUCUGGCUGGCUAGGCGGGUGUCCCCUUCCUCCCUCACCACUCUAUGUGAGUCCCUCCCAAAGCUGCAUGCUCAGUCGAAGAGGAUGACUAUCCCUGAUACAGGAGGACUGGUCUUCGGUCAAGGGUAUACAAGGAGCUGCACUCUCCUGCUGGAACCUCCAAACGAGCUCUCUUUAACUGACAAAUAAAAAUUGUAUAUAUUUAUCAAGUAUAUCAUUUUGAAAAAUGCAUACAUUGUGGAAUGCUAAAUCAAGCUAAUUAACAUAUGCAUUACAUCACU